AAUAAAUCACAGCGUAAUUCCGAAUUCAAUUAGGAGAACGCAUCCAUUUAUCCAGCCGAACGAUCGCAGUUUUUCCUCAUCAGAGUAUCAACCGCAUCUGAAUAUGAAGGAAAAGGCACACGGCUGCUGUCGGUUUUAAUAAAGCAAAUUGGUUGAUAGCCGCUUCGUUCGCUAAUUCCAGUCGCCCCACCGCCUCGUAGAUACGAGGUGCGUAUCCGUGUAAUGUUAUAAACCCGUACGCUUAUAAUCGGACCUACGUUGCCGAUUACAUCUGUCAUUUUUCGGGUAAAUGCGAAUAAUCGAACGGUAUCGCACAUCGUACCGAAAUCCUUAUCAGCUGUGGAAACGUAGGGCAGUUGUUCCCGGAUUGGUAAUUGAGGAAACGCAACGACCGAGAUAAGAAAAGUGCAAUAUGCUGCACAGAUAAUUUUAACGACAGUCGGUUACAUCUGAGAACGAGGUAGUGAGGAGCGUGAUACAAACGGCGGAAUCUAAUCGCCAAUUUUAUCUCAUUCAUCUCGCGCAUUGACAUCGGGCGGCAGCACCGAGCAGCAUCCGAACUCUUCUCUCGCAGUGGCGGGUCACGGAUCACGUUUCAUCUCCAUUUGAAAGACGUCGGCGAACCGGGAUCGUGUAGGUAAUUCCAGCGAAAUUUUUGAGGGACAAUAUUGUUUCGUUUAUUUUUUGUUAUUAACGUGCAAACGUAUACCACAAUAAAUUCAUCGAAAUCAAGAUCCCGAUUGAUUUGAUAGCAGCAAUCAGAAGCUAGUAAAGCAAAGUACCAUGAAAUUAUACCUUCGACCGUCACCUCGAAAAAGAAGACCUCGAAGCCUUAUUUGAUGAAAUUAUUUUUUGCAUCAUUGUACCGAUCGUAAAAGCAAACGCGUACGAACUGUAAGGUAACAUGACAAACGGCAACGGCAUCCAAAGCCAAGACCUCAAAUCGCUGAAAAACUUUGCUGAAUUUCCCCCUUCCCGGUGUUUGCAGAAUGCACACCGCUGCAACAACACGAUAAAUCCUCGCGUGGACAUUUUUACGUUCACCUACAGAUACAUUUGUAUUAUAUCGACGUUAUUCGCAGCUAUUGAAUAUUUAUGGCACGUGGCGAACGAAUCCCAGGUGUCGGCCGAAGGCCUCUUCAUUCAGUCUAGACGCACGUGAAACGCGUGCAAAAUAGAUACCACCUUGUCUUUGAAGCAUCCGGUGAACGUAGUCCGUAUGGUUCGAAUUGCAAUUCCUUCUACACGUCCGGAUGCCUGUAAACAUAUAUUUCUGUACUCGCACACAUACGGAUAUACGAUAUUCAUAUUGCCGGCCUCAGAGUCGAGUGGGGGAGGGGUAUAGAGCGAAAGCCACUCGCGUAAUUCAACGUGCGCCAUUAGCUCAGAGAACGACAUUGCAAUCAGAUUUCGAGUUCGUCGGUCGGACGACGAGUCCGUGGGAUUAUUCCGACUCGUAAUUAUGCUAAGGGAAUUCGUCGGCGUUUGCAGAGAUGACGCGAAAGCCAGCGAGGAGAUCCUCUUCGGGUGUGCGGGUUGCGUGUACAGCAGCUUGCAAUUAUCGAAAUUGCGAUCUCCCCGCUCUCUACAGCAUGGCCCUGAACUUGACCCUGUACUUGCAAUUUCUGGAACGGGGAGUCUGAAAACUCCUGGCGCACGAGGUCAGGGAGACCUAGAUGAUACUAGAAAUAAAUAUACAGGAUUGAAGGCAUGCACAUGAUGAGGCACAUGAGCGUCUCGUAGGUAGAUCCUCCUUUUCCGAGGCAGCGGCAGUAUGGCCUGAGCAGCCGGAGCGACGUUGUCAUCGGGAGCGACAUCGAUGGUAGCGAGUACAUCCUUUGAGAAGAGAGAGGAGAAGCCAGCGAGGAGAGAGAGACACGUAUUUGGGUGAGGAUUAGCAAUGGAUUAGUACGCAGUUACUACAGCGCCAUAAAUUUUGUUGACAACGAGUCCGGUGUCCAGUUUUGAUCCAGCCGUGACUCGGGAAGUAGUGUUUCGUUUGAUCUACAUAUUUUAAAAAAGUGCUUGACAAUCGGUAGCUAGUGAAAAAACUAUAUCAGUGGAAAUUUCGUGAAUUCCGUUACUCGGAGAUUCUUCCAUAAGCACUGGUCUUCCGUCUUGGAUACAACGGCAGUUCAGCUUCAGCGGCAGAAGCGGCGACUUCAGGAGCGACAUCAGUAGCAACGCAGUCUCCUUAGAGCGACGAUGGAGAGAGGCAACGGUCGCAGCUCCUCCAACAUCAUUGCCCGGACUCCCCCUGUUCAUCGGGGGGAGUCCACCGUCCCCUGGGACUGCGCGGCCUCCCACCGCCCCCGGGGUCCCAGGGGACCCAGUCCCCGAGGACAUGUCU